AUGCAACGCUACCAGAUCAUCACCAAAGGCAAGUUCCAGGGGAUAAAUCAUGAUGAUGACCGCCGUCAGCAGCUGUUGGGCGAAAUCGCAAGGUUGAGGCGUGAGCGCGACCGCCUCGAGGCCAGCGUGAGGGGGCUGACCGGGGACAACUUGCCAUCCGCCGCAACCACGGAGCUCGGCGAUCUGGAGCAGCAGGUAGAGCGUGCACUGGGUAAAGUCCGUGAGACGAAGGACACAAACUGCUGGAGCAGCAGUUGGACGAGAUACACCACAGGGUGCACAUCCUGGAGGAGCAGAACAGCUUCCUUCGCCACAUGA
rnacentral:rRNA from 1 species